rnacentral:misc_RNA from 1 species
UCUGCAUAUGGAGGCCAGUACAGGUGAAACUCAAUCUUGUAGACAACAGUGGUGCCGACGAGAUCCACCGGAGAAGAUGUUACAUAGCCUUGUACAAACAAAAAGUCACCGGUGCCUCCCACAACAGGAUGAUCAGCAGGUUUGAUAUUAUGCGUGCCUCCGACAAUGGAGAUUGACCCUUUGUGUUUCUUCAAACUUAGAGUAAUCUUAGCAGUAGAAAUGCUUGUGAGCCCAUCGAGACUAGAAGUUAUAGAGGUUCCUUCUGCAAUGCCAACGAGUUUGGAAGUUCGGUUGGCUGUAACUGUCAUGGGAUCCUCGAAAACGAACAAGGUACCAAAAGGCAACGUGGUUUGACUGAGGUUUGCUCCUGCAACACCGUUCACUAUGAAAUAUCCAGUUUUGUUGAUGGUUUCAUGUUGGUAAAGUGAAAAGUGGAGGGACUUGAGUUGGUGGUGGUGUGCAGCAGAGGUAGCCUUAAGGGAAAGAACUAAAAGCAAAGCAGCAAGAGCAUGGGCGCAGAGAGAUUGAGCCAUGGCUGUCUUUAGCCUGCAGAGCUUGUUAAUGAAGAG